UGUUAGCUGGUGGUUUGCGUUAGGGAUUGCAGCGGCAUCCUUUUUUGAGGCACGAUAAAAAAAGAUAUAGCGGAAAGCCCGACCCUUG
rnacentral:sRNA from 1 species